UGCCAGUUCAAGUGCUUGGGUCAACA
rnacentral:piRNA from 1 species